rnacentral:rRNA from 1 species
UGGGGAAUAUUGCACAAUGGGCGCAAGCCUGAUGCAGCCAUGCCGCGUGUGUGAAGAAGGCCUUCGGGUUGUAAAGCACUUUCAGCGGGGAGGAAGGCGUUAAGGUUAAUAACCUUGGCGAUUGACGUUACCUGCAGAAGAAGCACCGGCUAACUCCGUGCCAGCAGCCGCGGUAAUACGGAGGGUGCAAGCGUUAAUCGGAAUUACUGGGCGUAAAGCGCACGCAGGCGGUCUGUCAAGUCGGAUGUGAAAUCCCCGGGCUCAACCUGGGAACUGCAUUCGAAACUGGCAGGCUAGAGUCUUGUAGAGGGGGGUAGAAUUCCAGGUGUAGCGGUGAAAUGCGUAGAGAUAUGGAGGAAUACCGGUGGCGAAGGCGGCCCCCUGGACAAAGACUGACGCUCAGGUGCGAAAGCGUGGGGAGCAAACAGG